rnacentral:rRNA from 1 species
GAUGAACGCUAGCUACAGGCUUAACACAUGCAAGUCGAGGGGAAACGAUAGAGAAAGCUUGCUUUUUCUAGGCGUCGACCGGCGCACGGGUGAGUAACGCGUAUCCAACCUGCCCAUCACUUGGGGCUAACCUUGCGAAAGUAAGACUAAUACCCAAUGAUAUCUCUAGAAGACAUCUGAAGGAGAUUAAAGAUUUAUCGGUGAUGGAUGGGGAUGCGUCUGAUUAGCUUGUUGGCGGGGUAACGGCCCACCAAGGCGGCGAUCAGUAGGGGUUCUGAGAGGAAAGUCCCCCACAUUGGAACUGAGACACGGUCCAAACUCCUACGGGAGGCAGCAGUGAGGAAUAUUGGUCAAUGGGCGAGAGCCUGAACCAGCCAAGUAGCGUGCAGGAUGACGGCCCUAUGGGUUGUAAACUGCUUUUAUAAGGGAAUAAAGUGAGCCUCGUGAGGCUUUUUGCAUGUACCUUAUGAAUAAGGACCGGCUAAUUCCGUGCCAGCAGCCGCCGUAA